rnacentral:rRNA from 1 species
ACGCCCAUACCAUGCUGAAUAUACUUGUUCUCGUUAGAUCACCGAAGUCAAACAUCAUUGGGCGCGGUCAGUACUUGGGUGGGUGACCACCUGGGAACACAACGUGCCGUU